rnacentral:rRNA from 1 species
UACGGAGGAUCCAAGCGUUAUCCGGAUUUAUUGGGUUUAAAGGGUGCGUAGGCGGCUUAUUAAGUCAGAGGUGAAAUCCUGCAGCUCAACUGUAGAACAGCCUUUGAAACUGGUAAGCUUGAGUACAGAUGAAGUUGGCGGAAUGAGGCAAGUAGCGGUGAAAUGCAUAGAUAUGCCUCAGAACACCGAUUGCGAAGGCAGCUAACUAAGCUGUAACUGACGCUGAGGCACGAAAGCGUGGGGAUCAAACAGG